GAUGAACGCUGGCGGCGUGCCUAAUACAUGCAAGUCGAGCGAACAGACGAGGAGCUUGCUCCUCUGACGUUAGCGGCGGACGGGUGAGUAACACGUGGAUAACCUACCUAUAAGACUGGGAUAACUUCGGGAAACCGGAGCUAAUACCGGAUAAUAUAUUGAACCGCAUGGUUCAAUAGUGAAAGACGGUUUUGCUGUCACUUAUAGAUGGAUCCGCGCCGCAUUAGCUAGUUGGUAAGGUAACGGCUUACCAAGGCAACGAUGCGUAGCCGACCUGAGAGGGUGAUCGGCCACACUGGAACUGAGACACGGUCCAGACUCCUACGGGAGGCAGCAGUAGGGAAUCUGCCGCAAUGGGCGAAAGCCUGACGGAGCAACGCCGCGUGAGUGAUGAAGGUCUUCGGAUCGUAAAACUCUGUUAUUAGGGAAGAACAAAUGUGUAAGUAACUAUGCACGUCUUGACGGUACCUAAUCAGAAAGCCACGGCUAACUACGUG
rnacentral:rRNA from 1 species